rnacentral:rRNA from 1 species
GACGAACGCUGGCGGCGUGCUUAACACAUGCAAGUCGAACGGAAAGGCCCUGCUUUUGUGGGGUGCUCGAGUGGCGAACGGGUGAGUAACACGUGAGUAACCUGCCCUUGACUUUGGGAUAACUUCAGGAAACUGGGGCUAAUACAGGAUAGGAGCUACUGCUGCAUGGGGGGGGUUGGAAAGUUUCGGCGGUUGGGGAUGGACUCGCGGCUUAUCAGCUUGUUGGUGGGGUAGUGGCUUACCAAGGCUUUGACGGGUAGCCGGCCUGAGAGGGUGACCGGCCACAUUGGGACUGAGAUACGGCCCAGACUCCUACGGGAGGCAGCAGUGGGGAAUAUUGCACAAUGGGCGGAAGCCUGAUGCAGCAACGCCGCGUGCGGGAUGACGGCCUUCGGGUUGUAAACCGCUUUCGCCUGUGACGAAGCGUGAGUGACGGUAAUGGGUAAAGAAGCACCGGCUAACUACGUG